CGCGUAGGCGGCGAUGUAAGUCAGGCGUGAAAGCCCCGGGCUCAACCUGGGAAUUGCGCUUGGGACUACAUUGCUGGAGUUCGGGAGAGGAGCGUGGAAUUCCCAGUGUAGAGGUGAAAUUCGUAGAUAUUGGGAAGAACACCGGUGGCGAAGGCGGCGCUCUGGACCGAUACUGACGCUGAGGCGCGAAAGCGUGGGGAGCAAACA
rnacentral:rRNA from 1 species